GAUGAACGCUGGCGGCGUGCCUAAUACAUGCAAGUCGAGCGAACGGACGAGAAGCUUGCGUCCUUGAUGUUAGCGGCGGACGGGUGAGUAACACGUGGAUAGCUAUCUAAUAGUUCGGGGGGAAUUACGGAAACCGGAGUCAACUACUGGCGCAUAUUUGAAACGGGUGGAUGCAAAGUGAAAUAAGGCCUUGCUGGAACUUAUUGGUGGAUCCGCGCUGCAUUAGCUAGGUGGGGAGGUAACGGCCUACCAAGGCAACGAUACCUAGCCGACCUGAGAGGAUGAUCAGCCACACUGGAACUGAGACACGGUCCAGACUCCUACGGGAGGCAGCAGUAGGGAAUCUUCCGCAAUGGGCGAAAGCCUGACGGAGCAACGCCGCGUGAGUGAUGAAGGUCUUCGGAUCGUAAAACUCUGUUAUUGGGAAAGAACAUAUGUGUAAGUAACUCUGCCCAUCUUGACGGUACCUAAUCAGAAAGCAACGGCUAACUACGUG
rnacentral:rRNA from 1 species